GGGGGCGUGGCCUCCUUGAAUCCGCAGGAGCUGCAUUUCACUGGGAGUGAAGUGCAGGGAGAUUUCGCUGCAGGCCCCAAGUGGCUCCGGCGAUUGGAAGUGUCGACAUUAUUUUCAAGAGAGGGCUGAACAAAACCAGAAAAUAACCAAAUCAUAAUGAUGGAAAGAUUCGUGUGAAACCACAACAGAUAAAGGAAAAUAAAAUGGAGUGAAUUUCAA